GGGGCAGAUUGUGGCAGUAUGAGGUGAGUGGCUGCAAUAUUAACCAAUCAGCAGAGGGGGCGACAUAUUUAAGCAGGCGUAGAGCCAGCUUUGGGAAGUUCAUCUGGUCGACAGGUCACCUGACUUCCGGCUGUUGCGGGUAUUAUCGCCACUGCGCGUGAAACAAGCUCUCGCACCAAGACUGCUGUGGGAAAACUCACGUAUCGUGCCUGCCUCUCGCGCCGAGCCGACUUCCGGGUGUGGCAAACCCCCGUCAUUCGGGGGGAUUUAUCUGACAGCAUUUUAACGACACAGCCACCGCUUAGAAGACAGACAGCGGUCCGCGGUGGCGUGUGGAUCAGGAGCUUCACAGCCAUUCCCCACGCCGACAGACCGCUGCUCGGCUGAUUGAUGCUGCUUUGCUUAUUUUAAUUUGUUGGAUCCUUUUUAAGUUAUUGGGGACGCAUUUUAUUGUUUGCUGUUCCACUGGAAGCCUGGGACGAGGCCCGCAACGAAGACUGAUCUUGGCGGGUGGCUUCCUGUGUGGAUAUUUUAUAUUGCAACAGUUUUAUGUUUGUUUAUUUAUUGUCUUUUAUUUUGGCGUGCCCAAACUUCAUGGUUCUUAUACUAAUUGUAUUU